ACAUGUGUCAAAGGGGAGUAGCAUCAAAUCCAGGACUGGAUUUGAGAUAAAGUCGUCAUUACGUGGCAUCCGUGCCAUCGGUUUUAUCAACAUUUAAAAUGUCAGCGAGACCUUUGCCCUUAUUUAUAGGGUGGGUCUCGUUUUUUUAUUGUCAGACCUAGCGCAAGGA
rnacentral:sRNA from 2 species